rnacentral:lncRNA from 1 species
UCUCUCUCUCUCUCUCUCUCUCUCUCUCUCUCUCUCCACCAAGGAGGAUUAGGAACUGUUUAAUUGCAUUACCAAAUUACCAAACUAUCCAAUUGUUACAGUAAUGUACAAAUGUAUAAACCCAUUCACUGGAACUAGACAAUAACCAAAAUGCCCCUAACAAACUAUUAAAAUGACUAAACUGCUGCUAUACCUAUUCCCCAUACAAUUAAAUCAACUUUCACGCAACCUAAUCCCCAUAUUACGAGUCCCUAUUCAUGCAACCAAAUUCUCAUGCAUUGAAACUACACAGCAUAGACUCUUUGACUCGUUGGAACUCAAAAUAACAUUACUUUGACUCAUUGACUACAUGAAAAAUCUAUAGAACUCUAUUCUAUGCUUAACUUUAAACUAAACCCAAGAAAGUCCCUUGAUAACAAAUUACAAAAGAGUCUUUAGCAAAUCCCAAAUUGACAAACACAUCUUGGGGCCAAAGUUUUCUGGAAAUGACAAAUACAUCCCAGGGCCAAAAAGCUCCUAGAAAUGACAAGCACACUUAGCGACCAAAAGAUCCUGAAAAUGGCAGACACUUCGCGGGGUCAAAUUCAAAAAAUAAACUUGUUCUGGCAAGCCCCUUGAUGCAAUUUAUAUCAUACUCCCCAGGUUGGAAAAAAACUAGUCCUCGAGUUUUGGCAAACUGCUUAGCGUUCUUUUCCUCUAACAGAUGGUGAAGUCCUAUGCCUCCAUGGGGUUUAUCCUUACAAGGCAUUUGGUUGAACCCUUGGCAUAAGUUUUUGGUAGUUCCACAUUUGACAUUCAUGGUAGGCAACAUGUUGCGCAUGGAAAGAUUAGAGCCAUUGUUUCAAAAAGCAGACCUCCCAACGCAUAGGCGGUCCAGAAGGCCUGGGCGCAUCGCCCAGGCCUAGGCGGUGAUCCCUGAGCGGCGGCCUAGCAGUGUUUUAAAAUGCGGGAUGCGGCCCUGAUGCGGUGGGGGGACCGAUGCGACGAUGUGGCUCGAUGCGGCCCGGAUGCGGGUGCAUCGCGAUGAUGAGGGCAAUAAAUGUAAAAAAAAUCUAAAAAAUCUAAAAAAAUAAGUUAAUGCAUAGAAAAAAAUACGAAGGUGAUAUAUGUGAUAGUAGGUAUUUUAGUUUAAUGAUUAACUUCAAAACUAUUAGCUGUCGGAGACUCUGUAUCCAGUUAUCCACUAUCCCUUGAUAGAAACUAGAAACUUGAAACCAGCUUCAUAAAGCAUUCAACAAUCACCAACCACCAGCACAAAUUUGCACCUUAAGCACAACUAUAACUAAACACAACCAUCAACAACCAUAAGUACAACCAUAAGUACAAAAUAAUGAUAUUACAAAAUACAAAUCAAAAGUCAAG